ACACUGAAAAUAAAUUUCCAACGUCUAACACACAUCGUUUACGGCAUGGACUACGAGGGUAUCUAAUCCUCUUCGCUACCCAUGCUUUCGUUCCUCAGUGUCAGUAAUGAUCCAGAAAGCUGCCUUCGCAAUUGGUAUUCUUUCUAAUAUCUACGAAUUUCACCUCUACACUAGAAAUUCUGCUUUCCUCUAUCAUACUCUAGCUGAAAAGUUUUGAUGGCAGUUCCAGAGUUAAGCUCUGGGAUUUCACCACCAACUUUUUCAACCACCUACGAACUCUUUAAGCCCAGUAAUUCCGAACUACGCUAGGUCCCUUCGUAUUACCGCGGCUGCUGGCACGAAGUUAGCCGGACCUUCUUAUUCGGGUACAGUCAUUUUCUUCCCCGACGAAAGAGCUUUACAACCCAAAGGCCUUCUUCACUCACGCGGCAUCGCUGCAUCAGAGUUUCCUCCAUUGUGCAAGAUUCCCCACUGCUGCCUCCCGUAGGAGUUUGGGCCGUGUCUCAGUCCCAAUGUGGCUGAUCAUCCUCUCAAAUCAGCUAUUGAUCAUAGUCUUGGUAGGCCAUUACCCUACCAACAAACUAAUCGAGUGCGGGCUCAUCCAAUGGUGCAUAAAGCUUUCUCCGUAAAGACUUAUCCGGUAUUAGCACAAGUUUCCUCGUGUUAUUCCAGGCCAAAGGGUAGAUACCCACAUGUUACUCACCCGUCUGCCACUAAGUAUUGCUACUUCGUUCGACUUGCAUGUGUUAGGCGUGCCGCCAGCGUACGUUCUGAGCCAGGAUCAAACUCU
rnacentral:rRNA from 1 species